GCCGAAAUAGCUCAGCUGGUAGAGCACCUGAUUCGUAAUCAGUAGGUCGGAGGUUCAAAUCCUCUUUUCGGCACCA
rnacentral:tRNA from 1 species